rnacentral:rRNA from 1 species
GAUGAACGCUGGCGGCGUGCCUAAUACAUGCAAGUCGAGCGAACAGGCGAGGAGCUUGCUCCUCUGACGUUAGCGGCGGACGGGUGAGUAACACGUGGAUAACCUACCUAUAAGACUGGGAUAACUUCGGGAAACCGGAGCUAAUACCGGAUAAUAUAUUGAACCGCAUGGUUCAAUAGUGAAAGACGGUUUUGCUGUCACUUAUAGAUGGAUCCGCGCCGCAUUAGCUAGUUGGUAAGGUAACGGCUUGCCAAGGCAACGAUGCGUAGCCGACCUGAGAGGGUGAUCGGCCACACUGGAACUGAGACACGGUCCAGACUCCUACGGGAGGCAGCAGUAGGGAAUCUUCCGCAAUGGGCGAAAGCCUGACGGAGCAACGCCGCGUGAGUGAUGAAGGUCUUCGGACCGUAAAACUCUGUUAUUAGGGAAGAACAAAUGUGUAAGUAACUAUGCACGUCUUGACGGUACCUAAUCAGAAAGCCACGGCUAACUACGUG